UCUCGUACCAUUUCCCUGCCACUUCAGCUACAGCAUUAUCGCAAAACACCAUCUCAAAGAAGAAAGGCCAGUGCAAGAGGUGCCAGCCACCACGACGAUUCAAAGCGUGAUCUUCCAAACGAACGCGACGGAGAGCGUGCCCUUUCUUUGAUUUCUCCAAUGGUUUCUCCAUUGCCCAGCUCUGCGCACGAGAUCAUCUGUUCCCUCUUCAAUACACGGGAUAAAAUCGGACUCCAACGGGCACCUUUCCCGGACCAUGAAUACCAGACCAGUGCUGCCUGGACCGGCCCCAGGACCUCUCCACCCAGAAACCCACAUGGACGAACGUGGAAAUGAAGAUCCUCGGAGGACCGUUAUCCCAGCUAGCUUUUUUCCGGGGCAGAAUUGGGUCUCAAGGGAAAGUAAAGAGAUUUCACUCAUUUCCCACACUUGCCUGUUCAAAACGUAGCCCAAACACACCACGCUCUCCCAUACUUUCUUCUGGGUGAGAUGUGGACGGGCCAUCCAUACACCCACACCCAACCACUCUGAGCCCUGAAGAUUCUCCGCAUAUUCUGGACUUGCAAGGGGUAUGAUAGGCAGUGGGUGUUUCCCGCCUUCCUCGCUUUCCGUCACAUGCAGGAGACGGCUGCUUUCAUGAAUCCCCCAUAAUGACUUGAAUAAUUUGGGGGACGGCAUAGAAUUUUUCACAUUAUUCAUCUCAUGAGCUCACAUCUAUAUGGGAGCCUUACACCGAUUCAGGCAGUAAUUGCAAUAGCUAAAGUUUAAGGGAAGGUGAGUAAUGAACCACUUAUGGGAAAUGUCCACCGUCUGCCAGUUUGGAAUGGAAAGAUAAUGAUGGCGUCUGUGUCUCUCUCCUCAUUCCAGUCAACAUGUCAACAGUGUUCCAGUCAUGAUGGAGGCCCCCGUCUGCAGUUAGUUACGAACAAAGCCUCGGAGAUUGCCGAAGAAGUUUCCAACUUUGGGCGCCGAAACACUCGGUGUUUACGCUGGAUAAUUCUUCUUAAAUGUCAGGAUCUACCCGAAAGAGCAGCCGACCGCUGGUUCAUUAUAAACAAGAAAUAGAACGUCGUUACAUCGUUAUCAGUGGGAAAAUAUUUCUAGGAGGCUUCGGCGACUCCCUCAACAAUGCGUCGCAAACUGAUGGAUACACCAAACAUUUUAUGUAGUUUUAAAAUAUACAGCGCAUUAAAGUUUCAGUUGACUUAUCUGAAGAGACAUAUUUUUGGUAUGUAAACAAAAACGACAAGGGAAGAACUUGUCAGAAAGAGAAUAACACAUGCAAAUGAAAUCCUAGGUGAGGCGGCUCCACUUUUUAUAUAAACAACCGUUAAUGGAGCUGUGGGGUUAUUACCAUACGUAGCUUGGACCAAAAAACAAAUUCAUUGCCCCUCUCCAAAGAAUGGAUUAAAACAACCGAUCUGAUCAAAUUUGUAUAGAUAGGUUAAGAAAUGGACUCGCCAUCUAUGGAAAAUAAGAAUAAAAAUUAUUCGAGCUCUAUCUACUUUAUGUAAAUAAUGAGAUGCGUGUCAUUCAAAUUCCUUUCAAUUGAAUCUGUGCUGAGAAAGCAAAAACAUGAUUCCGAAGGAAACGAUCUCUCAUCUUCAGGAUAACGUACCGCUAUAAUACAAUUAUUUACAAUUGACUAAGAGUUAAUUCCAAUGGUAAAACAUCUUUCUUGCAAAAAUGUCAGCUUUUAUUGUUGAAACAAACUAAGAAUAAAACAUUUUUCCCAUGUCA